rnacentral:rRNA from 1 species
AUUGAACGCUGGCGGCAUGCCUUACACAUGCAAGUCGAACGGUAACGGGCCUUCGGGUGCCGACGAGUGGCGAACGGGUGAGUAAUACAUCGGAACGUGCCCGAUCGUGGGGGAUAACGAGGCGAAAGCUUUGCUAAUACCGCAUACGAUCUACGGAUGAAAGCAGGGGACCGCAAGGCCUUGCGCGGACGGAGCGGCCGAUGGCAGAUUAGGUAGUUGGUGGGAUAAAAGCUUACCAAGCCGACGAUCUGUAGCUGGUCUGAGAGGAUGAUCAGCCACACUGGGACUGAGACACGGCCCAGACUCCUACGGGAGGCAGCAGUGGGGAAUUUUGGACAAUGGACGCAAGCCUGAUCCAGCCAUGCCGCGUGCAGGAUGAAGGCCUUCGGGUUGUAAACUGCUUUUGUACGGAACGAAAAGCCUUCUUUUAAUACAGGAGGGUCAUGACGGUACCGUAAGAAUAAGCACCGGCUAACUACGUG